rnacentral:rRNA from 1 species
UACGUAGGGCGCAAGCGUUGUCCGGAAUUAUUGGGCGUAAAGAGCUCGUAGGCGGUUUGUCGCGUCUGCUGUGAAAACCUAAGGCUCAACCUUGGGCUUGCAGUGGGUACGGGCAGACUAGAGUGCGGUAGGGGUGACUGGAAUUCCUGGUGUAGCGGUGGAAUGCGCAGAUAUCAGGAGGAACACCGAUGGCGAAGGCAGGUCACUGGGCCGCAACUGACGCUGAGGAGCGAAAGCUAGGGGAGCAAACAGG